CUCUCUCUCUCUCUCUCUCUCUCUCUCUCUCGGGGCUGGUUUGGGCUGAGUGACUGGCUCGGAGAAUGACACACACUGAAACCCCGCAUUGUAACUCUAUAGGAACACCGUUGAAUUGAUGAAAAUGAUGAUGAUGAUGAUGAUGAUGAUGAUGACUGUGUGCGAGGGAUGAUCUUAUGAACUAAUGAGCUGCAUCCAUGGACACGUGAAUGACUGAAUGAAAGGAUGAAAGAAGGAAGGAAGGUGGGAUGGAAAUGGGAAGACGAAGGGAAGGAGGAUAAUGGGAAGGAGAGAUGAUGGGAAGGAAGGAAGAGAGGAUGGAUGCCAGGAAGGAAGGAAAUGAGGAAGGGAAGAAGAAAGGGAGGAAGGAAGGAUGAUGGGAAGAGAGGUACAGGAGGGAAGAAACGAAGGAAAGAAGGAAGGGAGGAAGGAAGGAAGGAUGAUGGGAAGAGAGGUAUAGGAGGGAAGAAACGAAGGAAAGAAGGAAGGGAGGAAGGAAGGAAGGAUGAUGGGAAGAGAGGUACAGGAGGGAAGAAACGAAGGAAAGAAGGAAGGGAGGAAGGAAGGAAGGGUGAUGGGAAGAGAGGGACAGAAGGGAAGAAACGAAGGAAAGAAGGAAGGGAGGAAGGAAGGAAGGAUGAUGGGAAGAGAGGUACAGGAGGGAAGAAACGAAGGAAAGAAGGAAGGGAGGAAGGAAGGAAGGGUGAUGGGAAGAGAGGGACAGAAGGGAAGAAACGAAGGAAAGAAGGAAGGGAGGAAGGAAGGAAGGAUGAUGGGAAGAGAGGUAUAGGAGGGAAGAAAGGAAGGGAGGAUGAUGGGAAGAGAGGUCUAGGAAGGAAGAAACGAAGGAAAGAAGGAAGGGAGGAAGGAAGGAUGAUGGGAAGAGAGGUAUAGGAGGGAAGAAAGGAAGGGAGGAUGAUGGGAAGAGAGGUCUAGGAAGGAAGAAACGAAGGAAAGAAGGAGGUUAGGAAGGUGUGAAACGGGAGGCAAGGGAGGUUCUCAAGGGCUCAGAAUGGGGUGUACUUGUAAGGGUCUUCUGUUCGGUCUGUUCGAUUCUUCGGCUGACUUCUGGGAGGCAGAAUGACCCAAGCAAGCUGGCACCACUAUCAACACUUGCCUGCGCCAUAACAAGCUGGGGCCGAUCAUCAGGCCCUACCAAGAAAGCCAUAGGUGAAACGUUAAAAAAAAAACAUCCUCCCUUGCUUCGUAGUGCCUGGAGAGGCUCUCGAGGAGGUCUUGAGUGGCGGUGGCCGGGGGCUAUUAGCAGUCCUCGAGUGGGCGGGUCCCGGCGGGCCACAACAGAGGACCAAUUAUUUGUAUCUUUAAGACGUCCAUUGUGCUGAGGCUUGUUGUUGUUACGGUUGACAGGUGGCCUCCCUCCCUGCCUCCCUCCUUCAUCCACUCCCGUGAUUCUUUCUGUUCGCUUUUCCUCUCUCUUUCUCCAACUCUACUCGGUAACUCUGUCCUUCUUUGUUUCCCUUUUUGCUUUCCUUUUUCCUGUACGGUUUAUUUCAUCACUCCCUCCUUUUCUCUUCCCUUUACCCCCUCCCUCCCUCCCUUCAUCCAUUCCCGUGAUUCUUUCUGUUCGCUUUUCCUCUCUCUUUCUCCAACUCUACUCGGUAACUCUGUCCUUCUUUGUUUCCCUUUUUGCUUUCCUUUUUCCUGUACGGUUUAUUUCAUCACUCCCUCCUUUUCUCUUCCCUUUACCCCCUCCCUCCCUCCCUCCCUUCAACCUCUCGUCAUUCUUCGUCUUCCUUCUUCCUCCCUCUCUCUUCCACUCUCCUGGAUUACCCUUUCCACCUCUUUCUUCUGUUUACUCUUCCCCUCUUCAUUCCCCUUUUUCUCUUUCCUUUAUCCUGUCCCUCCCUUCCUCCACUCCCGUCAUUAUCUCUGUCCCCUCUUCCUCCCUCCUCCCCUCUUUAUCUUUUCUUCUUCGUUUCCUCCACAUUUCUCUCCCUCCAUUUCUUAAUUACUUUUUUUUUUACUUUUCACUUCUUCCUUUUCUUCUGUUUUCUUUAUCCUCGCCUUCAUCACAUUCCUCUCUUCCUCUUCUAUUCUCAAUCUUCUUUAUGACACCUCUCUCUCUCUCUCUCUCUCUCUCUCUCUCUCUCUCUCUCUCUCUCUCUCUCUCAUCGGUAACCCAAGCCACGUGUGAGAGAAUCUGCUGGUCUGGUCAGUGUUGCUCCUUCCUUCCUUCCUUCCUUCCUUCCUUCCUUACUUACUUCCUUCCUUUUUUUCCUCCUUCCCUUCCCUUCCCUCCUUCCUUCCUUUCUUAACUCCCUUCCUUCCCUUCCCUCCUUCCAUGAUUUUCUUCCUUCCAUCCUUCCCUCUCUUCCUUCCUCCCUUCCUUCCUUCCUCCUUCCCUUUCUUUCCUUUCUCCUUCCAUCCUUCCUCCCUCCCUUUCCUUCUUUCCUUUAUUC